UACGGGGGGAGCAAGCGUUGUUCGGAUUUACUGGGCGUAAAGGGCGGGUAGGCGGCCACCGCAAGUCAGUUGUGAAAUCUCCGGGCUUAACCCGGAAAGGUCAACUGAUACUGCGGGGCUAGAGUGCAGAAGGGGCAACUGGAAUUCUCGGUGUAGCGGUGAAAUGCGUAGAUAUCGUAAGGAACGCCAGUGGCGAAAGCGAGCUUCUAGAUAGUUACUGACGCUGAGGCACGAAAGCUGGGGGAGCAAACGGG
rnacentral:rRNA from 1 species